GAGUUUGAUCGUGGCUCAGAACGGACGUUAGCGGCGCGCCUAAUACAUGCAAGUCGUGCGAGAAAGGGCUUCCGGCCCCAGUAAAGCGGCGCACGGGUGAGCAACACGUAGGUAAUCUCCCCUCGAGUGGUGGAUAACUCUACCGAAAGGAGAGCUAAUACAGCAUGAGACCACGACCUCGCUGAGGUUGCGGACCAAAGCAGGCCACUACAUGUAAGCUUGCGCUUGAGGAUGAGCCUGCGGCCCAUCAGCUAGUUGGUAGGGUAAUGGCCUACCAAGGCUUAGACGGGUAGCUGGUCUGAGAGGAUGAACAGCCACACUGGAACUGAGACACGGUCCAGACUCCGUACGGGAGGCAGCAGUAGGGAAUCUUGCGCAAUGG
rnacentral:rRNA from 1 species